CCCAGACUCCUACGGGAGGCAGCAGUGGGGAAUAUUGCACAAUGGGGGAAACCCUGAUGCAGCGACGCCGCGUGAAGGAAGAAGUAUUUCGGUAUGUAAACUUCUAUCAGCAGGGAAGAAAAUGACGGUACCUGACUAAGAAGCCCCGGCUAACUACGUGCCAGCAGCCGCGGUAAUACGUAGGGGGCAAGCGUUAUCCGGAUUUACUGGGUGUAAAGGGAGCGUAGGCGGUUUAGCAAGUCAGAAGUGAAAGCCCGGGGCUCAACUCCGGGACUGCUUUUGAAACUGCGUCGCUGGAGUACGGGAGGGGCAGGCGGAAUUCCUGGUGUAGCGGUGAAAUGCGUAGAUAUCAGGAGGAACACCGGCGGCGAAGGCGGCCUGCUGGACCGUGACUGACGUUGAGGCUCGAGAGCGUGGGGAGCAAACAGGAUUAGAUACCCGAGUA
rnacentral:rRNA from 1 species